ensembl:snRNA U6 U6 spliceosomal RNA
GUACUCUCUUGGGCAGCGCAUACACUAAAAUUAGAGUGAUACAGAGAUUAGCAUGGCCCUUGUGCAGGAAUGGCAUGCAAAUUUGUGAAGCAUUUCAUAUUAAA